rnacentral:misc_RNA from 1 species
UUUAGGUUUUAGUUGAAAAAUAGGGCUCUUCUAUUUUUCAACUAAAACCUAAAUCUUAAUAAAGACAAUCAUGUAAUAAUGCAUAUAAUCUAUCCAGCAAAACAGUGAUAAAAAAAAUAGAGGCCAAUCUUAGCCCACUGAACACUGAUUUUUCCACAAGCACCAGAAGAUGAAGAACUUCUCUUAAGCAAAGCCCAUCACUCUCACCAGCAUUUCUGAGUUCCUGUGCCUGGCCCAAUUGCCAGAAAGACCAUCUGAAGAUUGCUCUAGCACAUCUGCUUUCUGUGUCUCCUUCCCUCGACUC